GGUGGCGAGGGGAAGGCGACACUUGCUCGGCGCUGCCUCCGUGCAGAGCGGCCGGGAGGGCUUUGCAGCGGCCGCCGCCGCGGCGGGAGGAGGGGGCUGAGGCGGCUUCGGAGUUGGCCGGAGAAGGUGGGCAUUUCUCGCUUUUCCUCCCCCUCCUGCGCUCUCCCCCUCCCUCCUGCCCCGCACCCCACGUGAAACGGAAUAUAAAGGGGGGUGUGAGGCUACAGGGGAAAGUGAAUGGCGAAGGACUGAAGGGGUCCCCCCUUCGGGUCCCCGGCCGCCCUGUUCACCCUCGUUCAUCCUCCUUUCCGAAGCUCGCUCUCGAAGGCAGGAGCGACCGGCGCCUUCGGCUGAGGAGGAGGAGAAGGAGGAAUCGCGCCAGGCGGAGCGUCAGGUCCCGUUUUCCUCUCCGGCGUCUCGAAUACAAAGAUUACGGUGCAGAAGGAAAUUGCACUCGCCUCCUAGGCCCCCCCCCGCGGUACCCAACACAAUGCACCAGCCGCCUGAGUCCACCGCCGCGGCCGCCGCCGCCGCUGCAGACAUUAGCGCUAGGAAGAUGGCGCACCCGGCAGUGUUCCCUCGAAGGGGCAGCGGUAGUGGCAGCGCCUCUGCUCUCAAUGCAGCAGGUACCGGCGUCGGUAGUAGUGCCACAUCUUCCGAGGAUUUUCCGCCUCCGUCGCUGCUUCAGCCGCCGCCCCCUGCAGCAUCUACGUCGGGACCACAGCCUCCGCCUCCACAAAGCCUGAACCUCCUUUCGCAGGCUCAGCUGCAGGCACAGCCUCUUGCGCCAGGCGGAACUCAAAUGAAAAAGAAAAGUGGCUUCCAGAUAACUAGCGUUACUCCUGCUCAGAUCUCCGCUAGUAUCAGCUCUAACAACAGUAUAGCAGAGGACACUGAGAGCUAUGAUGAUUUGGAUGAAUCUCACACAGAAGAUCUCUCUUCUUCGGAGAUCCUUGAUGUGUCACUUUCCAGGGCUACUGACUUAGGGGAGCCCGAACGCAGCUCCUCAGAAGAGACCCUAAAUAACUUCCAGGAAGCCGAGACACCUGGGGCAGUCUCUCCCAACCAGCCCCACCUUCCUCAGCCUCAUUUGCCUCACCUUCCACAACAGAAUGUUGUGAUCAAUGGGAAUGCUCAUCCACACCACCUCCAUCACCACCAUCACAUUCAUCAUGGGCACCACCUCCAACAUGGGCACCACCAUCCAUCUCAUGUUGCUGUGGCCAGUGCAUCCAUUCCUGGUGGGCCACCCUCAAGCCCAGUAUCUAGAAAACUCUCUACAACUGGAAGCUCUGACAGUAUCACACCAGUUGCACCAACUUCUGCUGUAUCAUCCAGUGGUUCACCUGCAUCUGUAAUGACUAAUAUACGUGCUCCAAGUACUACAGGUGGAAUAGGUGUAAGUUCUGUUACUGGCACUAGUACAGUAAAUAAUAUUACUGCUGUGGGUAGUUUGAAUCCUAAUAUGACAAGCAGCAUGCUUGGUAAUGCUAAUAUAAGUACAAGCAAUAUUCCUAGUGCUGCUAGUGUGAGUGUUGGGCCUGGAGUUACCAGUGGUGUUAAUGUGAAUAUCUUGAGUGGCAUGGGCAAUGGUACUAUUUCUUCCUCCGCUGCCGUUAGCAGUGUCCCUAUUGCAGCUGCAGGGAUGACUGGGGGAUCGGUUUCAAGUCAGCAGCAACAACCAACAGUUAACACUUCGAGGUUCAGAGUUGUGAAGUUAGAUUCUAGUUCUGAGCCCUUUAAAAAAGGUAGAUGGACUUGCACUGAGUUCUAUGAAAAAGAAAAUGCUGUACCUGCUACAGAAGGUGUGCUGAUAAAUAAAGUGGUGGAGACUGUAAAGCAAAAUCCGAUAGAAGUGACUUCUGAAAGGGAGAGCACUAGUGGGAGUUCAGUGAGCAGUAGUGUCAGCACACUGAGUCACUAUACAGAGAGUGUGGGAAGUGGAGAGAUGGGAGCUCCUACUGUGGUGGUGCAGCAGCAGCAACAACAGCAACAACCAGCUCUCCAAGGUGUGACCCUCCAGCAGAUGGAUUUUGGUAGCACUGGUCCACAGAGUAUUCCAGCAGUUAGUAUACCACAGAGUAUUUCUCAGUCACAGAUCUCACAAGUACAGUUGCAGUCUCAAGAACUGAGCUAUCAGCAAAAGCAAAGUCUUCAGCCAGUACCUCUGCAAGCCACUAUGAGUGCUGCAACUGGUAUCCAGCCAUCGCCUGUAAAUGUGGUUGGUGUAACUUCAGCUUUAGGUCAGCAGCCUUCCAUUUCCAGUUUGGCUCAACCCCAGCUCCCAUAUUCUCAGGCGGCUCCUCCAGUGCAAACUCCCCUUCCAGGGGCACCACCCCCCCAACAGUUACAGUAUGGACAACAGCAACCAAUGGUUUCUACACAGAUGGCCCCAGGCCAUGUCAAAUCAGUGACUCAAAAUCCUGCUUCAGAGUAUGUACAACAGCAGCCAAUUCUUCAAACAGCAAUGUCGUCUGGACAGCCCAGUUCUGCAGGAGUGGGAGCAGGAACAACAGUGAUUCCUGUGGCUCAGCCACAGGGUAUCCAGCUGCCAGUGCAGCCCACAGCAGUCCCAGCACAACCUGCAGGGGCAUCUGUCCAGCCUGUUGGCCAGGCUCAGGCAGCAGUGUCUGCUGUACCUACUGGCAGUCAGAUUGCAAAUAUUGGUCAGCAAGCAAACAUACCUACUGCAGUGCAGCAGCCCUCUACCCAGGUUCCACCUUCAGUUAUUCAGCAAGGUGCUCCUCCAUCUUCGCAAGUGGUUCCACCUGCUCAAACUGGGAUUAUUCAUCAGGGAGUUCAAACUAGCGCUGCAAGCCUUCCUCAACAAUUGGUUAUUGCAUCCCAAAGUACCUUGUUAACUGUGCCUCCCCAGCCACAAGGAGUAGAACCAGUAGCUCAAGGAGUUGUUUCACAGCAGUUGCCUGCAGUUAGUCCUUUGCCCUCUGCUAGCAGUAUUUCUGUUACAAGUCAGGUUAGUUCAACUGGUCCUUCUGGAAUGCCUUCUGCCCCAGCAAACUUGGUUCCACCACAAAAUAUAGCACAAACCCCUGCUACCCAAAAUGGUAAUUUGGUUCAAAGUGUUAGUCAAUCUCCCUUGAUAGCAACUAAUAUAAAUUUGCCUUUGGCACAACAGAUACCACUAAGUUCUACCCAGUUCUCUGCACAAUCAUUAGCUCAGGCAAUUGGAAGCCAAAUUGAAGAUGCCAGGCGCCCAGCGGAGCCCUCCUUAGUUGGCUUACCUCAGACUAUCAGUGGUGACAGUGGGGGAAUGUCAGCAGUUUCAGAUGGGAGUAGCAGCAGCCUAGCAGCCUCUGCUUCUCUUUUCCCGUUGAAGGUGCUACCGCUGACGACACCCCUGGUGGAUGGCGAGGAUGAGAGCUCUCUAUUUCAGUGCUUCUCUCCUACCAGAGGUGCAAGGAGUGAUCCUAGAACCACAGAUACAGCCAAGACCACGGAGAGCUUUUGACGUCAGGGGUCCACUUUCUCCACUGAACCCUUGGAGACAGAAUAUCCAGCUUCUGGAGAGAGUGGGAAAGGAUAAUAAACAAAUUUCUUUCAACUGGUAAAACAUCAUACUUCUUCAGCAAAAGGAAUUCUUCUAGCAGAGCCUUCAUGGAUGAUAUCUGUCACACAUGCCAGCACCUGCAGUUUGGAAGGCAGUGGUGAAUGGAUCCAUGCAAUAUGUCUAGAAGACACAAGGAUGAGCCAGCCACCUGAUCUUGUCAUUUAUAAACUUUUAAGAAUUACUUUUGGUCUGAAAAUGGAAAGGCUCAAAUAAUGAAAUAAUCUUUUCAGAUUGGAAUUUUACAUGGCCAUGAAAAUAUUUCUUUCUAUUCAGAAGACUGAAAUAGAGGAAGCUUGAGAGACUCCUUUCUUUUAAAAGCAGCUCUCUGUAUCUGUUUCAUUUAAAAGAUUUGUGGGAUUGAAAAUCACCUUAAUGAAGUAGGCAAACGUUUUUUUAAGUAGUAGAGGAAGUCCAGAAAACUUAAUGAAAUGGUUGUUUUUGUUGCUUGACACUGAAAGUAACUAGUAAAUAAAGGGUGAACUUCUUAAUUAUUUGAAAACUGCUUUUAAUAUUAGGAUAUACUCUUUUAGCUCAUCUUUGGUGGUCUUGAGCCUUAUUAUAAUUGUCAAAUCAACGUUUCUAACAGAGAAGUAGAAGAAAUAUCUCUUGAGAUGGAAGUAGCUUGGUCUGUCCUCUAAAGUAAUAGCUACCUGUUAAACUUGAGGUAUUUUUUUUUCACACUAAAGGCAUACUAAAGUUUGAAUAAUACACAAAACAGUAGUUUACAGAGCAGAGGCACUUAGUAUUAGAAUAAGCCUGUAGGUGUGAAGGAAUAAGUGUUGCAAAAUAGUUAUUUAUCCAAGCCAUCAAUUAAUUGAUUGAAGUAGUUAUCAAAAUAUUUCUGUUUCUCUCUUUCUUUGGUAUCUAUUAACUGGUCAGUCAAAAGCUAUUAAAGAAAAUUUUUAAAGUCACAUAAUGCUGCCAGUUUGUUAAAUUUGUUAUACAUUUUAAGAACAGAUAUUCUAGAGUUAUUAAUAUGGAAGCAGCUAAAAUGUUUUAGGAAAUCUCAAAAGUUUUAGAAGCCACGUUUGCUAAAGCAUAACCUGCACUUAGUCUUUCUUGGCUCUCUGUAUUUUUUUAUCAUUAUAAAUAAAUUUUUGUAAGUAUAGUACUUAAAAGUAAGUUUAAAGGAUCAAUUUGAACUGAAAUUUCCCCAGAGAGCUUUGAAUUCCCAUAAAUGAUUACAGCUUUUUACUCCUGACUUGUUUUUAGUAAAUGUUAAUAAGACAAUUGGUUUACAAGCACAUAUAAAUUUAAAAACAACUGUUAAUCAUUUUAGGAAGAACUGAAGGAACUAAAAAUGAGAUUUGCUUGGAAAUUAAGUUAGUUGAAUUCUUUGAACCAAAGUACAAACCACUUUGUGUGGCCUGUGAGAUUAUAAGCUUCUUGUUUCAGCUUUGAAGAUGAAAAGUGAUUUAAUCUCUUAAUCUCAUGCUUUGAUUGAAUUUUAGCUCUGUUCCUUAAAAUAUGCAAAAAGAAAUGUAAGUGCAUUUCUAGUCACCUCAUGCCACUACAAGCUAUUUAUUUAAAAGUGAAACUUUUUGUAUAUUAUUGUGAACUGAUUUGUUUAUUUAAACUUUUGGUGAAUUUACCUUUGAAUUUUUUUAUAUUUUAUGUCACAAAAUGAAGUCCUAUAUUUUUCAGUGUUUACUUUAUGAAUAUUAAUAUAAACUUUUUUCUAGAAUGACUAAUUGUGUAAUAUCUGUAUUAUGUGAUAAUUUAAAAUCUAAUAAAUAUUUUCUCCAUGAAAAAAAUGCACUUACUGAUAAUGGCUUAUUUCUGUUUCAGGAGUAGAAACUGAAAACUGCAACAGUAUUUUUAAAUGUAUUUUAAUUUUAAGUGUCUUUCUCUAAGUAUUUCUGAAUAUAUAUUCUACCUUUCUGUAUGUUACAUUUUUUUUUUCCCCAGAAAAAACUUUUUUGAACUGUUAAAGUGAUUCUUCGUGGGGGUCACCAGUGAAUGUAUGAAAUAGGUGAUUUGUUUUGUAUGUUUUUGCAUUUUCCUGAUUAGCAUCAUCUUACCUUUGUUUCCAGAAUUGGAUUUUUUUAGAUGCAAUUUUUGUACAUCAAUUUUGCAAACCAUUAAAACUCUCUUGAGUUGAUACUGUAAAUAUCAAGAGUAAUUUGGCCAAGUCUUUUGAUGCUAGAUUGAUCAAAAUAUAACUCUUAUAGAAUAGCAUCCAAAAACAGUUCCUUUACCCAGAAGAACAUUUGAAAAUAAUGGCUGAUUAGGGACUAUGCAAUUCAUAAGAACUGUUGAAGUGAAAAAUGUUUUGUAUUUUAGUGUUCUACUUGCACAAAUAAUUGUAGAAGGAGAAAUCUUGAUCUCAUAGUCUCUUGUUUUUAAAUCUUAUCAAGACAGCAUGGAAAGGGUAAUAUUUACUUUUAUUGAUUCUUGUUUUUAUAGCUAUAUAAUUUAACUUAAUUGAAGCCACAGGAACAAUUUACCUUUUCUAUGCAGGAUUUGCUUAGAAGCUAGAGGAUUUCCUUUCAGAGUUGAAGAAAAGUUACUGAAGAAGUAGACCCCCAAAAUUAAAAAUAAUGUUAAGAUGGGGUCCUAGGCAAGAAAUAAAGAUUGAAUUAGUGACAGUUGGUGGAUUAAAAUGUAAUAAUUUGGCUCCCAAAAGAAAUUAUACUCUGAAAAAAAUCAAAUUUCUAAAAGGCAGUUAUGAUUUAGAAUAGCUGUUGUAUUGGGGGUGGGGGAAAGAAAGGAAGCUAACAUUCUUGGCUUUAUUAACCUGGUAAGUUUGGAAAAAAAUGUAAAGAUUCUGUGGACAAAAUUUUGUUUUCAGAAUUAAAGCUUUUAAAAGGUUUACAGACACAGUAUAUGUCAAUGAAAGGCUGUAUUUUAUUUGAAUAUAAAAGAAAUCCAUAACUUUUCCUAUAUGUGUAUGAAAGGGUAGGGUAGGCAUGGAAGUUAAAAUACACCCUGUAUUAGAAACCUGAAAAAUAUUGCAAAGAUAAUGGUGACAUGAGUUUUUAAAAAUAAUUUUUAAAACAUAGACUCUUCUCUACAUCAUCAGUAACCUUCAAAAUAAAAAUAUUACAGAAUGUUGAA